UACGUAGGGUGCAAGCGUUGUCCGGAAUUAUUGGGCGUAAAGAGCUCGUAGGCGGUUUGUCGCGUCGGCUGUGAAAACCUGAGGCUCAACCUCGGGCCUGCAGUCGAUACGGGCAAACUAGAGUUCGGUAGGGGAGACUGGAAUUCCUGGUGUAGCGGUGAAAUGCGCAGAUAUCAGGAGGAACACCGGUGGCGAAGGCGGGUCUCUGGGCCGAUACUGACGCUGAGGAGCGAAAGCGUGGGGAGCGAACAGG
rnacentral:rRNA from 1 species